ACGCUCGACACCUACGGAGGCAGCAGUGGGGAAUAUUGCACAAUGGGGGAAACCCUGAUGCAGCGACGCCGCGUGGAGGAAGAAGGUCUUCGGAUUGUAAACUCCUGUUGUUGGGGAAAAAGAGGAUGGUACCCAACAAGGAAGUGACGGCUAACUACGUGCCAGUAGCCGCCGGUAAGUACUGAGCGGGCGUGGCGAAGGCG
rnacentral:rRNA from 1 species